AUGCAAAUUCUAAAAUGUUUGUUUCACUCGAACUAUGCUAUGCACUGGCAUAGUAAACACAACUACAAAACGGUUACGUCAAAUGCUGCAAACAACAAUAUAAACUUCAAAGUUGCCCGAGGUGGAAGUAAAAGAAAGAGUAGCAUAAACGUCAGAGCCAAGGAUUUUAGGCCAGAGAGAAGGGGAAAACUGAGAGUUCAACUCUGCUGUCCUCCAGAAGGUUUUUGGCGAAGGAUUGUCUAUCAAAACUGUUCUAGCCUCUUAUUUCCUACAUAAUCCCAAGCAAAUGCUGUGAGAAGAAAGGAGUAGUGCCAUUGCCAAGUUGACAUGGGAGAACGCAGAAUUUCACUCCCAGAUCUAUUUACCCAUUGCACACCUGUAUUCUGUGUGACGUACUCUUUUAUUCUUGUGAAAAACAUUUCACAUUCACACGUUCCAAUAAAACUGAAAUAAGCCACGUUCA
rnacentral:lncRNA from 1 species